GCUCUGGUAGCCUAGUAGUCAGAGCGUCCACCUCAUAUGCGGAAGGUCGCGGGUUAGAACCCCAGCCGAGCA